rnacentral:ncRNA from 1 species
AGCACUUUUCAGAUGUGCUGACAGAUGUAAGUCCGACGUGCGACACCGCACUGCCUGAAGAAAGGCUUUGGGAUUAC